rnacentral:rRNA from 1 species
AGAAUCAACGCUGGCGGCGUGCCUCAGACAUGCAAGUCGAACGCGAAAGUCCCCUUCGGGGGAUAAGUAGAGUGGCGCACGGGUGAGUAACACGUAGGUAAUCUACCUUCGGAUGGGGAAUAACAACCGGAAACGGUUGCUAAUACCGCAUAAUGCAGCGGCACCUAAUGGUGACAGUUGUUAAAGCGGGGGAUCGAAAGACCUCGCGUCUGAAGAGGAGCCUGCGGCGGAUUAGCUAGUUGGUAAGGUAAUGGCUUACCAAGGCGACGA